rnacentral:rRNA from 1 species
UCCGGCGGCCAUGGCGGAGGGGCCACACCCGUUCCCAUUCCGAACACGGAAGUUAAGCCCUCCUGCGCCGAUGGUACUAGUCGGGUGACUGGCUGGGAGAGUAGGUCGCCGCCGGAU